ACAUGAACCCAUAUUUUGGUUUAUACUCAUUCAUGACAAUAAGUUAUGUACGAGGUCUUCUGGAUAUGGUGAAUUGUGUACGAAGAUUAUGAGUAGGUCAACAAGGAAUUAAUCACUUCUAGUAAGAGAAGAUAACAUCCUAUUUAUUCUAAUCAUAUGAUAAUUCAGGAAACCUUUGAUCAAAGUAGAAUGAAAAUUAGAAAGACUUUCUAAUGUUUCAUUAUUUGAAUUAUCAUUAAAAGAUUGAGAAAAAUAUGAAUAUGAAAUUGAGUUUGACAUAUAUUCAUACUCAUAUACAUAUUUGGGAUGCAGUUUGAUUAAAGGAUUGAAUUGCAUGGUAACUUGCCACUGAAGGGUAUUUUUGGUAUUUCCACCAAAUUCUAUAUUUUUCGGGUAGACAUGACACGUUGCUAGACGUCAAUCUUGUCUUAUAGGUUUGAUCGAAUUAAAGAGUUUAAUUCGAUCACCAAUUAGAAAGGAUUCUAAUUGUUAAGUUUGGGUUCGCAUAGUUUGG
rnacentral:lncRNA from 1 species